GGGGAGGAUUUGGAGAGCGGAGGAAUGAUGGAGAGCAGAGAGGAGAGGCUUGGAGAUCAAAACCUAAAAAGGUGGGAAUGAAAGAAGCUCCUAACCCUCUUGGCUUUUUUCCCAAAGCCAGGAGGCAGCUCCUGAAUGGUGGAUUUUGGACUACAGGUGAAGCUCCCAGCAAAGGGCCUGGCCCAGAGAAAUGCUCAAGAGUAGGAUGAAAAGACCGUGGGCUUCUUCCUUUGCAAAAGGAAACGUUUGGGACUGAUGGACACUGAAAAGUCUAGAUCUUCAUAAUCCUCAACAGCUUCACUGCCACUGCACUCACAAAAUGAGUGUGCCCUAUAUUUCCAGCCCUGUGAUGAGUAUGAAAAGAGCCUGAAGAACUCAUCUUCCUAGUCGCAAAGUACUUUAAAAUAUAUAAUCCCUCAAUCUUAAACAUAUAUAUACAUUUUAUUGCUUUUUAUUAUACAAUAAUACAUAUUUACUAUUGAAAAUACAGAUAAAAAAAGAAAAUGGUUCAUAAUAAUACUACCCAGGUUUAAAAAAUACUAUUCAGCCUUAUGUUGAAGAAUCUGACUCUUUUCCUAUGCAAGCAUGUAUUUCAAGCAAAACUGGACACUUUGUGUGUACCUUGUUUUGUAAUCUUUUUUCUCCCAAAUUAAUAUAUAAUCAGUAUCUUUUUGUAUUAAUCUUAAAUCCUUUCUUCUGUCACUUAUUUUUAAUGGUUAACUAGUCAUCUACUAUAUAGAUAUUCUGUAAUUUAUUAAAGUGAUCCCUCAUUCUU
rnacentral:lncRNA from 1 species